AAUUUUGUACUAUGGUCGCAAGUCUUAUCCAGCCAUGCCGCGUGAGUGAAGAAGGCCUUCGGGUUNUAAAGCUCCUGCGGACGGAANGAAAUCGCUCAGGCUAAUAGCCUGCGCGGCUGACGGUAUCGUCAUAAGAAGAACCGGCUAGCUAUGUGCCAGCAGUCGCGAUAAUACGUAGGGUGCGUGCGUUAAUCGGAUUCAAUGGUUGUAAAGCGUGCGCAGUCGGUUGAUUAAGACAAACGUCAAUACCCCGGGCUUAACCUGAGAACCUCGCUUGUGACUAGUCAACUAGAGUACGGCAGAGGGGGGUGGAAUUCCACGUGUAGAAGUGAAAUGCGUAGAGAUGUGGAAGAACACCGAUGGCGAAGGCAGCCCCCUGGGCCGAUACUGCCGCUCAUGCACGAAAGCGUGGGUAGCAAACAGG
rnacentral:rRNA from 1 species